GAUGAACGCUGGCGGCGUGCCUAAUACAUGCAAGUCGAGCGAACGGACGAGAAGCUUGCUUCUCUGAUGUUAGCGGCGGACGGGUGAGUAACACGUGGAUAACCUACCUAUAAGACUGGGAUAACUUCGGGAAACCGGAGCUAAUACCGGAUAAUAUUUUGAACCGCAUGGUUCAAAAGUGAAAGACGGUCUUGCUGUCACUUAUAGAUGGAUCCGCGCUGCAUUAGCUAGUUGGUAAGGUAACGGCUUACCAAGGCAACGAUGGAUAGCCGACCCGAGAGGGACGAUCGACAGCCUGGAAGUGAGGAUCGGCCCCCACACCGACAGGGAGACACAGUAGAGAAUCUUACGGGAGGGGGCAAAGGCGAACAGAGCAAAGCCGGCUGAAGGAUGAAGGUCUUCGGAUGCGAAAACUAUGUUAUUAGGAGAGAACAAAAGCUUAAGUAACUGUGAUCAUAUUGACGGUACCUAAUCAGAAAGCCCCGGCUAACUACGUG
rnacentral:rRNA from 1 species